AAUUCCUAUUGAAGAUCUUGGAGCUUCUUGGAGCGUUUUUUCUGGUCUUUCAAGCGUUUGGAGCUGCAAAUGCCAGCGCAUUUUCUCUGCCGGAGCGGCAGUUGUAGUUGUAGUUGUGGCGUCAGUGGCGUCGGAAGCGGUUUUCGGUUUUUUCGGGGGGCGAAACGAGUGGGAACGGGAGCGCGAGCGGGUACCUCUCCACGCCAGCGGGAACCAGCGCAGACUGACGGACUGGCAACUGGCAACGGGCAGCCAACAGCGCAACAACAAACCCAAACAAAAGGCAGCGCCAGCAAACGUUGCUUCUAACCACAGGAGGAGCCACAGGGGCGUAGUUGGGGGGCGUGACAAAUGCAAAGGGGGGUGCCUAUUUUUAACCUUUUCUUUGUAAAGUUAUUACUGAAAGUCCUAGCUUUUAAAGUAAUAAAUGAAUAAAAUUAUGUGGAAAAAUAUUUAUACAUUUUUUUGGGGUAUUAAACUACUAUAAUUACUAUAAUUUGGGAUUUAGUUUUCGGCGCCAUAAAAAAAAUAUCUCAUUUAUAUUUAACACGAAUUUCUUUCCGAUUAAAUACAUUUCUUUGUCUAACAUUAAAAUUUGUAGCUUUAAUAUUUAGUAACCCCUUUAGUGCGCCCCUGAAGUUGGAGUCACCACAGCUGGCGCUCUCUCUAAUGCUUGGCUCUCCCUCUAAUUGUUUUGUUCUCGCUCUCUCCCGUGUGAAAGUGGAGCAAUGAAUGGUAGUCGACGUCACAGAAGGGGAUGCAAGAACGCGAGAGAGUGAGACGGAGAGGGAGAGAGGCAGAGCCCCAAAGAGAAAGGGGGCGGUGUGCAAAAGAGAUAGCUGGAGAAGAGAGCGCAGUGCGAUAUUUAUUGUUGUAAAGUACCUAAAGUACAAUAUCUUUGUUUAGUUACAGUUAUGUAGUUUACUAGCCACACACACCCGCAUUCGAAUCCACCCACACCUUCAACGGCGAUAUGGCGUAUUUGCUCGCACUGGAUUAUUUGUAAAGAAAUGAAAAUAAUAUAACGCAAAACCAAAUUCCAGAUAGUCGAAAUCAAAAAGGGAACUGGAACAUGUACUAAAAACUUGACUACACUUGCAAAAGGUGGUUACGUCAACAAGAGUGCCAGGAUUUGCAAGGAUUUCUAUUUUUGGGCCAUUUGCAUUUGCGCAUGUCCCGAAAAAAUGCCUGUUGCAUCCAGAAAAGCCGUAGGACCUACCCCAAAUCUCCCAGAUGCAGAACGAUUCAAGGGUUUUUCAGUGGACAAUUAUUGGCAGAGUAUAAAAAACAGUUCUGGCUCAAGACCCUUCUACAGUUCAAUUGGAAUAUUACAAUAUUUUGAUUUAGGGAAUAUUACUUUACAUAUAGAAAUUUGAUCGGUAUAGUAGUAACUCCAAUUGAACUGUGCGAAAAGCCUUUGGAUACAAGUAAAAUGCUUAUGAGAGGUAUUUUAAA